rnacentral:rRNA from 1 species
AGUCAUAUGCUUGUCUCAAAGAUUAAGCCAUGCAUGUCUCAGUACAAACAAUAUUAAUGUGAAACCGCGAAAGGCUCAUUAAAUCAGUUAUGGUUCCUUAGAUCGUACCCACAUUUACUUGGAUAACUGUGGUAAUUCUAGAGCUAAUACAUGCAAACAGAGCUCCAACCGGAGACGGAAGGAGUGCUUUUAUUAGAUCAAAACCAAUCGGCGGCAGUGGCGUGUCUCGUCGCUGUUCGUCGCAGUGCUUGGUGACUCUGAAUAACUUUUGGCUGAUCGCACGGUCUUGCACCGGCGACGCAUCUUUCAAAUGUCUGCCUUAUCAACUGUCGAUGGUAGGUUCUGCGCCUACCAUGGUUGUAACGGGUAACGGGGAAUCAGGGUUCGAUUCCGGAGAGGGAGCCUGAGAAACGGCUACCACAUCCAAGGAAGGCAGCAGGCGCGCAAAUUACCCACUCCCGGCACGGGGAGGUAGUGACGAAAAAUAACGAUACGGGACUCAUCCGAGGCCCCGUAAUCGGAAUGAGAACACUUUAAAUCCUUUAACAAGGACCAAUUGGAGGGCAAGUCUGGUGCCAGCAGCCGCGGUAAUUCCAGCUCCAAUAGCGUAU